rnacentral:rRNA from 1 species
UGGGGAAUUUUGGACAAUGGGCGAAAGCCUGAUCCAGCAAUGCCGCGUGUGUGAAGAAGGCCUUCGGGUUGUAAAGCACUUUUGUCCGGAAAGAAAUCCUUGGCUCUAAUACAGUCGGGGGAUGACGGUACCGGAAGAAUAAGCACCGGCUAACUACGUGCCAGCAGCCGCGGUAAUACGUAGGGUGCAAGCGUUAAUCGGAAUUACUGGGCGUAAAGCGUGCGCAGGCGGUUUGCUAAGACCGAUGUGAAAUCCCCGGGCUCAACCUGGGAACUGCAUUGGUGACUGGCAGGCUAGAGUAUGGCAGAGGGGGGUAGAAUUCCACGUGUAGCAGUGAAAUGCGUAGAGAUGUGGAGGAAUACCGAUGGCGAAGGCAGCCCCCUGGGCCAAUACUGACGCUCAUGCACGAAAGCGUGGGGGAGCAAACAGGAUUAGAUACCCCUGGUAGUCCACGCCCUAAACGAUGUCAACUAGUUGUUGGGGAUUCAUUUCCUUAGUAACGUAGCUAACGCGUGAAGUUGACCGCCUGGGGGAGUACGGUCGCAAGAUUAAAACUCAAAUGAAUUG